rnacentral:lncRNA from 1 species
UAGUUUUUGAAAGUAUAUUAGUACUUCAUGUCAAAUUUUAGGUUGUUUGGAUGGUCCAAUCGUGAGAUAUAAGCUAUUGAAGUUCAAAAAAUAUUUUUCAUCAAGAUAUAUAAGGUUUUAAGAUACUUUAUCAUACAUUUGGGUGUUUUUUUGGUACUUGGGCUUAUGAAUUGAUAUAAUUGCAAUAAAAGGGAAAAUAUUAUAUAUAUAAAUUUGGUACAUUUAUAUCUUAGACUUUUUUGAGCAUUUAGUGGCAGCCAUAAAACCCAUACAAGAGAGUGGACAUAUCAAGAAGAAGACAAGUUCUACCUCUUCCUAUAGAAGUGGACAAUAAUGAAGAGUUCGAAGUGGAAGAAGUUCUAGAUUCAAGGUGGCAUCAAAAUAAAUUAAAAUAUCUUAUCAAUUGGCUCGGAUAUGAUAUUAGUGAAUACACAUGGGAGCCAGUAAAGAAUCUUGCAAAUGCAGCAAAGGCAAUGGAAGCUUUUUAUUGAUGACAUCCAUCAAAAUCAAAAUGAAAACCUU